rnacentral:rRNA from 1 species
AACGAACGCUGGCGGCAUGCCUAACACAUGCAAGUCGAACGAGAUCUUCGGGUCUAGUGGCGCACGGGUGCGUAACGCGUGGGAAUCUGCCCUUUGGUUCGGAAUAACAGUUGGAAACGACUGCUAAUACCGGAUGAUGACGAAAGUCCAAAGAUUUAUCGCCAGAGGAUGAGCCCGCGUAGGAUUAGCUAGUUGGUGCGGUAAAGGCGCACCAAGGCGACGAUCCUUAGCUGGUCUGAGAGGAUGAUCAGCCACACAGGGACUGAGACACGGCCCAGACUCCUACGGGAGGCAGCAGUGGGGAAUAUUGGACAAUGGGCGAAAGCCUGAUCCAGCAAUGCCGCGUGAGUGAUGAAGGCCUUAGGGUUGUAAAGCUCUUUUACCCGGGAUGAUAAUGACAGUACCGGGAGAAUAAGCUCCGGCUAACUCCGUGCCAGCCGCCGCUGUAAAAC